UCACCAAGUCCGCACGUCUGACGUGGCGGUACUACAACGCAUGACCUCAUUGGGGUAGGACAACCCGCUAGACUUAAGCAUAUC
rnacentral:rRNA from 3 species